UUUAGAAAAGAGAACUCGAGGAAAAAUAAAUGAAUUAAUGAUUUUCCGCGCUCGUUGCUUCCUGAACCGACUGAUUAAUUAAUAUCCAACACCAACUAUCCGAGAACAACAAUAUUGGGAAAAUUAUUCAGAAAAUUCGAUUAGCAAUGAAGUUUCAAGUAACGAGUGCGAUAAGAAACACUCCGUGCCAAUAGUUUUAUGCGAUGAGUGCCGCUCAUGAGUCGUAGAAAGAGAAAAAAUGCAAAAAAACAGUUACCGGUGUUAUUACAAAUACAUUGCACUUUAAAAUGGAUUCUCUAAAUGUUGAAGGAGAAAGGUUGAUUCAUUUGGAUUUGAAAGUCUGCCCGUUGAAAGUCGACUAUCUCGAAAAACUAUUCAAAGUAUUUCGCGAAUGGGGAGGAACUGGCUUAUUAAUAGAAUGGGAAGACACAUUUCCGUACGAAGGAGAAUUAGAAGACAUCGGCUCUCUUCAUACACAACUUGCGUACUCUGUCGCAGAUAUACAAAGCAUACAAUCCUUAGCUGAGCAAAACAACCUCAUCGUAAUACCUUUAGUGCAAACCUUCGGCCAUUUAGAAUUUGUACUGAAAACCCCGAAAUGGAAACAUUUGCGAGAAGUUCCUAGAUAUGCUAGUUCGAUGUGUCCCUCACAUCCCGAGUCAUUACCAUUAGUCACUUCUAUGGUUAAGCAGAUUAUUAAUCUUCAUCCCAAUAGUCAAUUUAUUCAUAUCGGAGGAGACGAAGUAUGGCAUAUGAGCCUAUGUGAGAAUUGUCGGCAGCACCAUAAACACGACUUGUUCAUGAAGCAUAUAACAUCUGUUUUACGAUUCGUUAAAGAAAAUUAUCCCAAUGUUACACCGAUCAUGUGGGAUGAUAUGCUUCGUUCCAUCGAUAUAAAUUUGUUGAAAGAAUUCGAAAUUGGGCAAUAUGUCGAACCAAUGGUAUGGGAAUAUCAUAGAGUAGAUACUUUCUCACUAGGAACAGAUUUAUGGGAAAAGUAUAGCGAUGUGUUUGAGAAGAUCUGGGUCGCUUCGGCUUUCAAAGGUGCUACCGGUAGUUGUCAAAUCUUGCCCAUUGUUGGACACCAUUUGAGCAAUCAUGAAAAAUGGUUGGAUGUCGUGGCCAAAAUUCGUUCUAAAUUCAAAUCCGUCAGAGGUAUCGCGUUGACUGGUUGGAGUAGGUACGAUCAUUAUGCUACGUUAUGCGAGUUGAUUCCCACAGGAUUGACUAGUUUGGCAUUGUGUUUGAAAACCUGGGUAAAUGGAAAAUACGAUGGUGCUGUUUACAAAGAAAUUAGCACUUUGUUGGGAUACAGUGACGAGGCUCCACUUAUACUCUACCCUUUAAAUCGACCAUUACCGAUUGCCAAAUUUCUCAAUUUCCCUGGCUAUCAGAUCUACAUCGGUGUUGAGUGGUUCGCUAACAUACGUGCCAGAUAUAAUUAUAUCGCCUUCAGUGACCAAGCAGUAACUUGGUUGAAUACUUGGCACGUUAAACGCAACAACACAAGUGUGAUGCAAGUCGAACACAUCAUCGUGAGUUUCAGAAGUUUAUUAGAUGAACUAAGCGCUGUUGAACGUCAUCUUUCUAUGAAUAUGCCAGAAGCAUUUUACGAUAAUACCAUUGAGGAAUGGUUGGGCUGUUAUUUGUAUCCGUUAAAGGAGAAAUUAAUAGAACUGAUUAAAGAUGCUGAGUCUCAGCUUAAACUCGAAUAAUCUUCGUUAACGAUUCUAAUCAUUUUUUAGUUUACUUAUAAGUAAUUUUCGAUUUUCUAUUUUCUAUUUUCACGACUUUUAAUUACCCAUAUUUUAUUAAGGAGUAUUUUCCGUUACUACUGAAUCAUUGUAUACGCGUGGGUGUUUUUUGAAGGGUUGGGAGGGGAUAUUAUUUUUUUUAAACUGGAAAAAAUAUUUUAAUUAUACAAUGGGUUUGUUAUUGUGUUUAAAAACUAUUUUUUUAUGCAUGUAAGUUCCUCGAGUGUUUGCCUGUGUUAGUUAUAUUUUUCGAUAAGUUUUAUCUUUACCUGUAUGUUUUGAAAUACAACAAUAUUGAUAGCAUGUACGAUUAUCAUUAUCAAAUUAUUAAUGAUGUUUCAUUUUACAAAAUGAGUAUUCAUUAUUCAACUGAAAUAAUUAUUCAUUCGCAAAAAAUAUUUAUUCGUGAUCGAUAUAAAAAAAAUCGUACUUAAUAAUAGAACAUAUAAACGUGGAAUAGUUUGAAACAUCACAGCACAAACAUAUCGUAUUUGUGUGGUAAAGUAAAACUUCAUUCAAGUAAAUUCCUUCGUAGCAGUAAAACUCCUGUCAAAAUGAUACCCAAUAACGCGCCAGCUACGAUGUAAAAAUCGAAAGAAAAUUUCUGCUUGGGGGUUGGCCCGUUUCUCCUCUUCACGUCCUAUAAUAGGAAAAAAAUCAUAAAAGGUAGGUUGAGGUAAUUUUUGAGUCGACUCGGAUCAAUUCAUUAUUAAAAAUCUGACCUUCAAUAGCAAAUCAAUAUCUUUAAUCAUAGCUUCAUUCUCUCCCUGAAUUCGCUCACAGAUCGUAGCUAUAGCCGAGCUAGCUGCUGUGUCGUUAUGAACGAUGAUAUCCAAAGGUUUUCCUUUUUCUAAACUCCGCUGGACAUAACUGCAUGCGACAUUCGCCGAGUACAGAUAAUCGUCGCUAUUCUUUAAAAUAUCGUUAAUUUCUUCCAAUCUAAACGGGUGAAAUUUCAAUUCAACAAUUGGCUUCAAAAACACACAGACUUUGUAGGUAACAUGAACGAGGGGCAACUUACUGAAGUGAUUUCGGAUCAGGCCAUUUUUCAGUUUUGCGAAAUUUUUUAAUGUACUUUAUCAGCAAAUCGAUUUCUUCCUUGUCGUCGACACCGAUGGUUCUCAUGUCAUCUUCAUUCAACGAUAGAAAUAAAUCCAAAUUGAUAUUAUGUUUCUCAAACAACGGCGCGUGUUUAUCGAGAUCAAGACCAUUUAACAUGGUCAUAACCAUACGAUCAAGCUUACUCUCCAUUUUCACUUUUAGGCGCGUUCUAAACAAGCAAAUUUCAUCGAAUUCAAACAUUAGGCCAAACGUACGAAUGGAAAUUUUUACAAAGCGGUGUAGUAAUUCAGCCGAAAGUUUCUCGAAUAAUAAUUUUAGCGCCAUAAGACACACAACGAUACCGAAAUACGAAUGAAAAAUAACGAAAGAAAUAAGUACCAAGUUACGGUGAACCAUUAUAUUCGCAAAUAUAUCCAAAUAAACCAAAUAAACUUAUAAUUACGGUAAGCCUAGGAUUAUCCUAAUGUAAAAAAAAAAAAGAAAUUAAAAUAUUCAUUCAUAUUAUAUACAAGAGAAUAAAACUUGAAUGAUCUUGAAAUCAAAAGAUGAAUACCGUUAGUUAAUAAAUAAAAAUUACUGUAAAAUAGAAAAACCUUCGAUAAUCGUGGGUAAUUAAUGAGGAUUGAUUAAAACGUACGCAUUGUAAUUAAGCUACAGGUUGACGAAUAUGUAACAGUGAUUCCAAUAUAUAUACGUACGUACGCCGGAAAAUACCAUCACAUAUUUGCACAAAGUAAAA